CCUUUGCCUCUCAUUCCCUGGCACAACUCCUGAUUCCUGGAUUCCCUCUGACUACACCCUGAAAGACCUGAUAGGUAUGUUUUAGAUGAAAAGUUGAUUUGAAAAAUAAUAAUGUUUGUAUUGCUUGCUGCCUUGGGCUCCUUUGGGAGGAAGGGCGGGAUAGAAAUUUAAUUACCAAUAAUAAUUAUUAUUUACACAGGCAUUCUUUUGAUCUCUUGAUCCGACUCUUCUGUUUUGAUUCCUGUGUUUUUAAAAUUAGGAUUCUUUUAUUGUGUAUUUUAACUAUCAUGUUUACAUUUCAGUGUUUUAAUAGGAUUGUGUUGUUGUAUAUUUUAAGUAUGGAUGUUUAUAUUUUAAUGCUUUUUUUUUUUUACAAUAUUUUACAAUAAAUAACUCUGCAAUUGCCAAUGUAAUAUAAUGGCCCUGUAUUACACGAGGCAGUUCAAAUAAUUAUCUGGCUGCCUGAAUAAAUAGAAACACAGUAUUGUAGAGUUGGAAGGGACCAUGAGGGUCAUCUAGUCCAUCCCUGAAAUGCAGGGAUAUUUUACCCAAUGUGGGGCUCGGACCCAUGACCCUGAGAUUAAGAAUCUCAUGCUCUCCAGACUGAACUAUCUCCUUCAUGUGUGUGUGUGUGUGUGUGUGUGUGUGAGAGAGAGAGAGAGAGAGAGAGAAUCAAACAACCAAAGUUUUCAGAGAAAUGCAGCAUACUCCUUUUCAUUUUCUUCUUUCCCUGCUUGAUCUGGGGGAAAUACUCUCUGCACAAACACACACUUGACUUCUGUGCCAUCUUUGCAUCUAUUCCAUCUACAUUACUGUGAGAGAGGACACCAUACCAUACUAGAUAUCAAUAACUUAUGCUUGCCUUGUGUUGUAUGUGGAACCUUAACCAUGAAAUUCAGGCUCCACACACAUGUUCAUAAGUAGCAAAAUAAUCCUAUGCAAGCUUCUUCAUAAAUUAGUCCCAUUAAAUUCAAUGGGGCUUACAAGUUGGUGUACAAAGCAACCGUCCCCAGCUGGCGCGCUCUAGGAGCUCUGGACCGCAACGCCCAUCAGUGCAUUCUAGAACCUCAUGGUGUUCUAGAACUCCCUGGUGCUUUCUAGAAGUUUUGGACUACAACUCCCAUUAGCCCCUGCUAUGGACUACAGUUGGAGGGUACCAGGUUGCUGAACACUCAUGCAUAGAAUUGCAGGCUUAAUUUGUUUUGUUAAACAGGAUUCUAUAUGGUUCACUGGCAGAGGUCCUGAACCAGGCCUACACCAGGUUUUCUCCUAGGCCAAGUAGAUGUUAUAGCCUGAAAGCUAAAGAAGUCUGUUGACAGUUAAUUCAAUGUGCCUGACUACAACACAUGCCUCAUAUCCCCUGAAAUAUUGUUUAUGAUGUCAAGUAUAUGCAGAACUCCAAUUUUGUGACUGAGGAUGGAAGGCUCUGAAUGAUAUACAAGUGUCCAGGUCCUGAAGGAUGCAGUAAAGAUGUCAGCAAUAGUGCUAAUUCGCACCUCAUUACUGAAGCGUGCAUAGCUAACUCUAAAGAAGGGAUUGCCCUUGAGUGGCUGUACUCACACAUGGCCAAAUACACUUCCUGGGAGGUUUCCGACAAGUGUAAAUGAGCUGUUCUAAUUCCUGUGAAAUCUCACGGGAAGAGCAUUGUUCCCUUUACAAAUAACAGGACUCCGGGGACCUGAUCCCUCCAUUUGCAAACAAGCACACACCUUAAGCUGUGCAGAAGUAAAAGAAGCAAAUAUUGUGGGCUCUUCAAUCAAUAUUUAGUGAAGACAUACCUCAUCCACCUUCUUAAACAAUUCCCUGUGUUAUUAGCCCUGAAGAAUAGAAGGGAGAGCUAUUUCUUUGCCAAGUAAUUACCAGAGCCAUUUGUGCAUGACCCCCCAUUAGCGAAGCUACACAAACUCUCAAAUGUGGUGAAUGAUGUCUCAGCAAGUAGGACUUCCCAAGACACUUUUAAGAUGGCAGCCCAACAGCGAGGGUGAUGCUAUAAAACACUGCAAUGCAGCCUACACCACUCUAGGCUUAACCUAGUUCCUGAAAGUAGACAUUACCUUACUUCCCAGAAAGUUGCUACAGAUGCAGGGAAAAACAAGAGUGCUUGUUCCACCCACAUAGACCGAAACGUCUCACAUUACUCCAAAUGUACAUCCAAGAGCAGUGUUGAAGCAACCUCUAUCAGUCUCAUGUCCAGUUUUGGGGGACUAUUGCUCAAGGGGUCCUCAGUGUAACCCCUCCUCCUCCUUUCUGGCAAUGCUCACUUCCUCUCUGCAUAAUUCUGUGGUGUGUGAGUUUUAGGUAAUAAAUGUAAAGGUAAAGAACUCCUGGACAAUUAAGUCCAAAGGUGACUAUGGGGUGCGGCACUCAUCUUGCUUCAGGCCAAGGGAGCUGGUGUUUGUCCACAGACAGCUUUCCAGGUCAUGUGGCCAGCAGGACUAAACCACUACUGGUGCAACGAGACACCGUGACGGAAGCCAGAGCGCACAGAAACACCGUUUUUCCCGUCGCAGUGGUACAUAUUUAUCUACUUGCACUGGUAUGCUUUCAAACUGCUAGGUUGGCAGAAGCUGAGAAAGGACAACAGGAGCUCACCCCGUUGCACGGGUUCGAACCACCGACCUUCCAAUUGGCAAGCUCAAGAGGCUCAGUGGUUUAAAACACAGCACCACCCGCAUCCCUAGUAAAACUCACCCGUGUGAGUUUUACUACAUACACAAGAACUUUAUUUUAUCCGAGUGAGCAUUCAGAUGUGACAUCCCACCAACCACACCUGAAAUCUGAAGUGGCACAGUAAAUGGAAUUCUACCACCUCACUCACUGUAAUAUGUACAAAAUGCCUCAGUUCUCUUUUGAUAAAGCAACAUGUGCUCUCGUUGCUGCGGAUGAAGGAGGAGGAUAAGCCACAAUUCAUUCAUAAUGGACUUGCAGCAUUGUAAUCAUUUGAAUCAAAGUGUAUUCAGGUAACUGCAGGCAGAUAGCCAAAGGGAAGGAAAUAGGAACACAGUAAGAAAGCAGUGCUUGACCCACGACUUUUUUCCAGCCGGAGCUCACAGGAACUCAGUUCUGGUACCUCAGGUAAGUGCCAUUCUAAGAGAACAAGGGAGGCAACACUUUUUUCUCUAGAAAAAUAGCACUGGCUUCACCUGCAAUUUAUACAUCUUUUAAAGUGCUGUUUUCCAAAUAUGUUACAUCUGAUCACACAUACCUUCCACCUUGAAGCUUUUUUCAUUUUUAUUUUUGAAAAUAUGAGUGUUUUGCUUGACAAAAAUGAUUUCUGAGCAAACUGUGCAGGCGAUCAUACCCAAACAAGCAGUGUGUACCUUGGGCAUGCCUAGUACAUGUGUGUAGCUGUGAAUGUGCAGCUGGUAAGGUAACCUUUGACAUCUGUUUAUCAUCUCAGUUGUGCCCACACAGAACUCUUAACUUAAUACUAGAUGUAUAUCACUUUUUUAAGAGAGUGCACUAUGUGUCCUACAUUUAAAAGGAACUGUACAAAUGGGCAAAAUUGCACUCAGCAGUGUGUAGGUGCUUAGAAGUAUGGGCAACAACGAAUUGACACACAUCCAACUGAUGCAUAAUCCAUUGCGCCGAACCCAGAAGUGACUUUAAAAAUGGCAAAAACGGCCCUAAAAGAGCGCAGAAAGGGCAAAAAAGGUGUAAAAACAGCACCUAGCAAUCCCACAAGCCUUUGCAAGUGCAAUCCUAGGAGCCCUUGGAGCGUUUGAGCAAGGAGACUGAGAGCCACUAUUGCCACCAUUCAUGCCCGUCUGGUAAGUGCUGCUGGUUGUUUAAAGGGGUUUCCAGGGGUUUCCAGAGGUUUAGAGGGUGUUUGCAGGCUUUUCCAGUGGUGUUUCAAAUAUACAUUAUUUCACUUAUGCAUACGGUGCCUGUAAUGUAACCCCAGCAUAAACUGGGAGUUAUGUAAUAACUCAUGGAUGUAAUAACCCAUUGAUCUAUGGUUGCAGGGUUUGUGCCCUGACAACAGUAUCUUCAGCAGAAAGAUACAGGAGAAAUGCUGUUCCAGUUAGAAGGAAGUUUUUGCCAUUAAGAGGCACCAGUUCAGCAAAGGCUAUUGGUAGUUGCUUUUUCCCUCCUUGUAUUCAGAGAAUCUGGUUUGAAUAAAUGGAUUGUAGAGCUGAUUGCAAUUUAUUUAAAAUUGGGAGGGGGAAAGAGAAUUAUUUUUUUAAAACCCUAGUAUUUUUUUCCAGCCAUUGCCCUCUAGGAAAAACAUUUUGCUGAAAUGGGAAGAGCAUUUUUUGCCAAAAGCAAAAGACUCUGGCUGUUUUCUACUAUUGCGGAAACAUAACAGGAAUAAGUCAACAGUAUCCAACAUAUCAGACAACAACAG